AUGAGAGGGGCCAGCAGGCUGCCCUGUGCUGUGAGUGAAGGGAGAGUAGCGUCUUUUUCCAAAGAUAACUUGCGGUGUUGCCCUCGAGCCAACAAGAAUAUGAGCCGACCUCUGUGCAGGGUUUCAGGGCCACCUCCAGGCUGCAGGGACGGGUGUCACCCCCUUGGUUUUCUCUCUGCCUUGGUGUCCUGGCUUCAGACUCCCCCUUCCUGUUGAGACCGGAGUGCCUCGGUCCCUCCCCAGCCUGAGUCUUCUCGCUCUGCCAGGUGGGCUGAGGCCUGUCCUUGGUUCCUGUGGAGCUGGCCCUGGCUGGGCAGGAUGGGGCGUCACCACAUCCCUGGCCUUGCUGGAAACACAGGGCUCUGCUGACCUGCAACCAUCUGUGAGGCCCGUGUGGACGGGAGGGGAGCAGGGUGGCCUCGAGAGAGGGGCUCAGGAACUGGGACCUCGUGGCCUGCAUCGGUGGGACCCUCACUCAGGCCUUCUCUCCGCUACCAGUGUGUCUAAAAGACUUGGAACCUGAGAACCCUGAGUCACAGUGCCCUUGGUCCUGGGUCAUACGCAGGCCCUGGUGAGACCACCCAGCUGGUGGUGUCCAGAGACAGCAUUGCUCACCUAGAGCCUUACUUGGGAGCCUCACCAGGGCGGGGGGCUGAGGGCCUCCCCGGCUCAGCCCUGUGUGGCCCGGCGCUCCUCCCCCAGGCUCCCCUGUCCAGUGGUGCAGGGCUCUCUCAGGGUGAACUCGCCCCUUUUGCACUGGAAGGCCCUUCCUUUGGCCUGAGUACUUUUCCUGUUCACGCCUCAGUCCCGUGGACCCAGCCUGUCAGUAGCAGGUGCCUGAACAGCAGACGGGUGGGGGGAUGCAGAAGGGGGCCUUGUCUUUCCAGCAGCAGUUUAGGAAUGGAGUGGGGGAGUAGGCGUCUUCUCCAAAGGCUUUCCCCACCUGGAGCAGGGGAGUGUGGGGUGCCCCAGUAGGGGCUCCUCUGUGGGGAGGGGAGCUGCCUGGGGGGCUGGGCCAGAGGCAGCGGCUCAGAGAGGCAGCGUUCCAGCCUUGGUGGGGAGGAAAGUGUUCAUUCUUUGCCUUCCUGGAGCUUCCAGCCAGAGCUCAGUUGAGGGACUGGGUGGAGCCUGCAGCUGAGUCUGCCCGAGACAGAGACUGUCAGAGAUUCCAGAAGCCUCUCAUUCCUGCCCCCCUCCAUUCCUGCCUUUUAGUGGCGUGGAUCCCCAGAGGUGCCCUCUGUCCAGCCACCAUCCUGAGGCAGACUGACGAGCCUCACACCUGUAACAGGCCCCUGGCCAGCUGGGCCCCUUCCAGGCACUGCCCGGGAGCCCCGGCUGCCCCUGGAGCAUGGUGGAAACUGGAGGGUGCAGGUGCUCUGGGGCCCAAUGAUGGGAGCCUGAGAGACCCCACAGCAACACCUGGUGCCUUCUGCAGCCAGUGCCCGUCCGUUUGCGCCCAGACACUCGGGAAUGCCCGUGGCUCCAGAGGAAGAAGCCCAGGGCUGGGGCCUCGGUUUUGGGGGCUCGGCUUCUUGGCAACCCUGCCAUUUCCAGCUCUGGCUGCCUGUCUGUAAAGCACUGAGGACCCCGCCGUGGGCCGCCAACCCCUGAAAGCAGAACCCUGGCCUCCCCGGCCCCUGCAGCCUUCCCCACCAGCCCUCGUGGCCAGGGUUCUUCCUGCAGCCCUCCUGCCCCUUCUCAUCGGCCUUGUGCUUGUACAACCAGUGCUGUUGGUUUGAAAAGGUGACUCGUGAGGAGUGUGGCUCGUUACUGAGUAGAGAGGUAGAGUUUCUAUUUAACCAGACCUGUAGUAGUAUUACCAAUCUGGUUCAAUUUAAGGUGAUUUUUUGGUAAUUAUUUUGGUGGGACAAUCUUUAAUUUUCUAAAGAUAGCACUAACAUCAGCUCAUUAGCCACCUGUGCCUGUCCCCGGCUCGGCCCUGCUGGAUGAAGCGGCUUUCCCGCAGGCCCCCCUUCACAGUGGCUGCUUCCUGGGCCACCAGGGCACCCCAGCGCCUUCGGGUGUGUUCCUCAGCUGGUCACCUCCUUUCUUUGCCUUCCGAUGGGGCUUCUGAGGCUGAGGAGUGAAGAUGCCUCAGAGCCAGGCCACCCUAGGCUUCAUCGGGUGUGUUUUGGAAGCCGGCCUGCUGGGACCCUCCACCCUAGGGCCUGUGUCAGCCACCUGCCCUCUGCACCCUGGAAGCACAUGGGCUCUGGGAAAGACAGCCCUGACCUUCAGUGUUCCAAGUCACGGUGUUCCCCAAGAAUUCUGGGCUGGCAGCCUAAUGGCAGUACUGGAGAAGACCCUGAGCCUUUCCCCAUGGGGCACCCAGGAGGGCCUGGCCGGCAUGUGCAGCCUGUGGGUGGCCGGCUGAUGUCCACGCUGUGGUCAGGGUGCGUGACCUGGUGCCCAUCCAUGCAGGUGUGUGGUGUAAGCAUGUAUGUGCUGUACAGAUGUGUGUGGAGAGCCACGCACCAGGGCCACGGAGAGGCGGAGCAGUUACCAAUGUUUCGUGUUUAUUUUUAAUCAAGACGUUUCCCCUGUUUUCCUAUAAAUUUGCUUAGUGUAAGCAAGUACAAAAGGACCCUCCUUUGGUGAAAUCCGGGUUCGAAUGAAUAUCUCAAGGCAGGAGAUGCAUCUAUUUUAAGAUGCUUUGGAGCAGACAGCUUUAGCCGUUCCCAACCCUUAGCAAUGCCUUAGCUGGGACGCAUAGCUAAUACUUUAGAGAGGAUGACGGAUACAUAACGAGAGUAAAGAUAAGAGAAAAUGUCUAAAGCAUCUGGAAAGGUAAAAAAAAAUCUAUUUUUGUACAAAUGUAAUUUUAUCCCUCAUGUAUACUUGGAUAUGGCGGGGGAGGGCUGGGACUGUUUUGUUUCUGCUUCUAGAGAUUGAUGUGAAAACUUCCUCCGAGAGAUGCCAGGGCAGACGAUGGCAGAGGAGAGGACCCCUGUGACAGCGGCGAGGCUUGGGAGGAAACCGCCGCCGGGGGCAUCUUCCUUGGGGACAGAAGGGUGGGCCUGAGGCUUUCAAGGGUUUUCUUCCCCUUUUGAGUAAUUUUUAAAGCCUUGCUCUGUUGUGUCCUGUGGCCGGCCUUCCUGUGACUGACUGAAACGGCUUCCCCUACGAUCGUCUGAAACAUGGCAGCCACAGGUGCCAGGGUCUGAUGGACAGUGGCAUAGAAUUGUGGGAAAGAAACACGCAAAGGGAGAAACGUGAGCGAAGAAACAAAAUAUGAGUGUUUAAAAUACAUCGCCGUUCAGUUCUUGUU